GGCAGUUGUAGGACAACAUUCUAAAGUCAGUACAGAAGACUACAGAGAGGAAGAGGUGGGCUGAGCAGGAUUUACUAUUGGAGAGUGAGGUCCUUGAAAACCAGCAUAGGAGAAUAAAGGCGUCGUUACCCUUGAGCAUUCGGUCAUGAAACUGCUGGAGAGGAAAUUAAUUAACCCCUGCCAAGGCUUCCCAGCUGCGGGGCAGGAAUUAAGCUGUCAUCCCUCUUGGAUGCUUGGAUCAGACCUGCUUUGGCUGGCUCAGCCUCUGAAUGAACAACCGGCUCUUCUCCCCUUCGGCUGCCCUUAGACUGAG
rnacentral:lncRNA from 1 species